AUUGAACGCUGGCGGCAUGCCUUACACAUGCAAGUCGAACGGCAGCGGACCUUCGGGUGCCGGCGAGUGGCGAACGGGUGAGUAAUGCAUCGGAACGUGCCAUUGAGUGGGGGAUAACGUAGCGAAAGUUACGCUAAUACCGCAUAUUCUGUGAGCAGGAAAGCAGGGGACCGCAAGGCCUUGUGCUCUUUGAGCGGCCGAUGUCAGAUUAGCUAGUUGGUGAGGUAAAGGCUUACCAAGGCGACGAUCUGUAGCGGGUCUGAGAGGAUGAUCCGCCACACUGGAACUGAGACACGGUCCAGACUCCUACGGGAGGCAGCAGUGGGGAAUUUUGGACAAUGGGCGCAAGCCUGAUCCAGCCAUGCCGCGUGAGUGAAGAAGGCCUCGG
rnacentral:rRNA from 1 species